rnacentral:rRNA from 1 species
GACGAACGCUGGCGGCGUGCUUAACACAUGCAAGUCGAACGAAGUGGAGAACGGGUGAGUAACGCGUAAUCAAACUGCCCUUCAGAGGGGGACAACAGUUGGAAACGACUGCUAAUACCGCAUACUGAAGGAGUGGAUUGCGUCUGGUAAGGUAGUUGGAGGGGUAACGGCCUACCAAGGCGAUGAUCAGUAGCCGGUCUGAGAGAAUGACCGGCCUCAUUAGGACUGAGACACGGCCCAGACUCCUACGGGAGGCAACAGUGGUGAAUCUUCCGCAAUGUACGAUAGUCUGACGGUGCAACGCCGCGGGAGUGAUGACUGCCUUCGGGUUGUAAAGCUCUGUUAAUCGGGACGCGGUACCGGAGUAGAAAGCCACGGCUAACUACGUGCCAGCAGCCGCGGUAAUUC